GACGAACGCUGGCGGCGGUGCUUAACACAUGCAAGUCGAGCGGUAAGGGCCCUUUCGGGGGUACACGAGCGGCGAACGGGUGAGUAACACGUGGGUGACCUGCCCUCAGCUCUGGGAUAAGCCUGGGAAACCGGGUCUAAUACUGGAUAUGACUCCAUGACGCAUGUUGUGGGGUGGAAAGCCUUGUGCGGCUGAGGAUGGGCCCG
rnacentral:rRNA from 1 species